AAAAAGAAAAAAGAUAAAACCUAAGGAAGCAGAACUCUAUCUUUUUCGCACUUCUCUAUCUCUGACGGCGUUCUACCAAAGCUCUGUCUCUAAGGCUCCUCUGAAUCUCCCAUCUUUGAAGUUCUCAUCUCUGCUAGGUUAUUCGUUGCUCUUCCAAUUAUUGAAAUUUUUGGAUUCAAUACAGCUCGAUUGAUCAAAGCACCAACCAUCGCAUUCUUUGCUCUGUUAAGCAACAGGUCAAUUGCACUGCACUUGACAAAGUUUAAAGUUUCUGUUUGGGAUUUCACUCUCUGAUAGGCCUGUGUGGCAACAAUUCAUUAUUUGCUCUUCUGGGUUGUUCUUUGGUUACCUUGUCAAUUGCGUCUGUGAGAUGAUGAAAUUUGUGCAAAAGUCCUCGGAGUCAAAUCAGGCUACAUCAAGGGUUGUGGUUUUGGCCCUAGACCUCCACCAUCAAGGGUCUCUCAUUCGUCGAUAAAUGAAAUGUCUGAAAAGAACAAAGAGUUGCAAGGACAGCUUCAAGAGACCCAACACCUUGUAGGGACUCAACAACAAAAGAUUGAUGCACAAAAUGAGGUGAUCCAAAGAUUGGAGGAGCAAGCCAAAAAGUUUGAGGAGUUCAUGGCUAACUUUUCCAGGCAACAUCCAUCAAGUUAGUAUCUUUAUUAGAGAACUUAAACAUGGAGAAAUAAUUUUUUAGAUCAUCUUGAUUUUGUUAUUGGUUUUAGACUAUUUUUGUUACUCUUUAUGUUAGGAAACACUUUGAUUGUUACUUUGGUUUUAUUAUUAUGAGAUUUAUUAUUGGUUUGAUUAUUUCAAUUUGUUUUAAAUAUUUUCAUGUAAUAUGGUAGAGAACAAUUGGUGACAAAACCAUAUGUAUUGUCAACAUUUUC